UCACCCCUCAAGCCCCCGGCUUGGUGUUGGAUUCAAGUCGUCGCUCGCCCGGUGACUGGUCUCGAAGACAGUGACGCCGUCCCAGAGGGAACCGGUACGAGGAGCUUUCUUAACCGAAGCAUGUGCCGGGAAGACUUUCGCGGGCGGUGGUCUCUUGUAACCACAAAUUUUCUAAG
rnacentral:misc_RNA from 1 species